rnacentral:rRNA from 1 species
AAUGCUCAGUAACACGUGGAUAACCUGCCCUAUUGUCUGGAAUAACCUCGGGAAACUGAGAACAAGGCCGGAUAACCCACCAUGCCUGGAACGGUUGGUGGGUGAAGGUAGGAUGGGUCUGCGGCGUAUCAGGUUGUAGGGGGUGUAACGGACCCCCUAGCCAUCGACGCGUACGGGUGUUGGGAGACAUAGCCCGGAGAUGGAUUCUGAGACACGAAUCCAGACCCUACGGGGUGCAGCAGGCGCGAAAACUUCACACUGCAGGAAACUGGUGAUGAGGGAACUCCAAGUGUGUGCAUUUUAUGUACACUUUUCUGAACUCUUAAUCGGUUCAGGAAUAAGGGGUGGGUAAGGACGGUGCCAGCCGCCGCGGUAAUACCGGCGCCUCAAGUGGUAGUCGCUUUUAUUGGGCCUAAAACGUCCGUAGCCGGUCUGGUGCAUUCGUGGGUAAAUCAACCCGCUCAACGGGUUGAAUUCUGCGAGCACGGCCAGACUUGGGACCGGGAGAGGUGUGGGGUACUCUCAGGGUAGGGGUAAAAUCCUGUCAUCCUGAGAGGACCACCUGUUGCGAAGGCGCCACACUAGAACGGAUCCGACGGUCAGGGACGAAACCUAGGGGCACGAACCGGAUUAGAUACCCGGGUAGUCCUAGGUGUAAACGCUGUGGACUUGAUGUUGGGGGCGCUCCGAGCGCUUUCAGUGUCGAAGCGAAGGUGAUAAGUCCACUGCCUGGGGAGUACGGUCGCAAGGCUGAAACUUAAAGGAAUUGGCGGGGGAGCAC